ACUAAAAUUAAUACAAGUCAACAUGCCUUAUCUCAUCUGAUCUUGGAAACUAAGCAGGGUCGGGCCUGGUUAGUAAUUGGAUGGGAGACUACCUAGGAACACCAGGUGCUGUAGGCC
rnacentral:rRNA from 1 species